rnacentral:rRNA from 1 species
CCUACGGGCGGCAGCAGUGAGGAAUAUUGGUCAAUGGGCGCGAGCCUGAACCAGCCAAGUAGCGUGAAGGAUGACUGCCCUACGGGUUGUAAACUUCUUUUGUAAAGGAAUAAAGUCAGGCACUUGUGCCUUGUUGUGUGUACUUUAUGAAUAAGGAUCGGCUAACUCCGUGCCAGCAGCCGCGGUAAUACGGAGGAUCCGAGCGUUAUCCGGAUUUAUUGGGUUUAAAGGGAGCGUAGAUGGGUUGUUAAGUCAGUUGUGAAAGUUUGCGGCUCAACCGUAAAAGUGCAAUUGAUACUGGCAGUCUGGAGUACAGGUGAGGUAGGCGGAAUGCGUGGUGUAGCGGUGAAAUGCUUAGAUAUCACGAAGAACUCCGAUUGCGAAGGCAGCGUACUAAACCGCCACUGACAUUGAUGCUCGAAAGUGUGGGUAUCAAACAGGAUUAGAUACCCUUGUAGUC